GGCAGCAAGGCAUAGUGGUUUGAGUGUCAGACUACAACUCUGGGGACCAAGGUUCAAUUCCCAGAUCAGCCA